GACGAACGCUGGCGGCGUGCUUAACACAUGCAAGUCGAACGGAAAGGCCCUGCUUUUGUGGGGUGCUCGAGUGGCGAACGGGUGAGUAACACGUGAGUAACCUGCCCUUGACUUUGGGAUAACUUCAGGAAACUGGGGCUAAUACCGGAUAGGAGCUCCUGCUGCAUGGUGGGGGUUGGAAAGUUUCGGCGGUUGGGGAUGGACUCGCGGCUUAUCAGCUUGUUGGUGGGGUAGUGGCUUACCAAGGCUUUGACGGGUAGCCGGCCUGAGAGGGUGACCGGCCACAUUGGGACUGAGAUACGGCCCAGACUCCUACGGGAGGCAGCAGUGGGGAAUAUUGCACAAUGGGCGGAAGCCGGAUGCAGCAACGCCGCGUGCGGGAUGACGGCUUUCGGGUUGUAAACCGCUUUCGCCUGUGACGAAGCGUGAGUGACGGUAAUGGGUAAAGAAGCACCGGCUAACUACGU
rnacentral:rRNA from 1 species